UACAAAAAUUAGCUGGGUGUGGUUGUGGGCACCUGUAGCUACUCAGGAAGCUGAGGCAGGAGAACAACUUGAACCCAGGAGGUGGAGGUUGCAGUGAGCCAUUGCACUCCAGCCUGGGCAACAACAGUGAAACUCUGUCUCAAAAAAAAAAAAAAGUGACAAUGAUCAUUCCUGGUGUUAACAACAGACGUCCUUUUUUGGGGGGGUGGGGGACAGAAUCUCCCGUUGCCCAGGCUGGGUGGCUUAACAACACACAUUUCUCUCUCACAAUUCCAAGAUUGAGGAACCAGCAGAUUGGUGUCUGGUGAGGGCCCACUUCCUGGUUUGUGGAUGGCUGUCUUCUCCCUGUAUCCUCACAUGAUGGGGAGUGAUAUAGUUUGGCUCUGUGUCCCCCGCUUAAAUCUCAUGUCGAGACCAGGUGCAGUGGCUCACACCUGUAAUCCCAGCACUUUGGGAGGCCGAGGUGGGCGGAUCACCUGAGGCCAGGACUUUGAGAUUAGCCUGGACCACAUGGUGAAACCCUGUCUCCACUAAAAAUACAAAAUUAGCCGCGUGUAGUGGUGGGCGCCUGUAAUCCCAGUUACUUAGGAGGCUGAGGCAGGAGAAUCGCUUGAACCUGGGAGGCAGAAGUUGCAGUGAGCCCAGAUGGCGCCACUACACUCCAGCCUGGGUGACAGAGUGAAACUGUGUCUCAAAAAAAAACAAAAAAAGAAAAAAAAAGAGGUUUCAUGUCAAAUUGUAAUCCCCAGUGUUGGAGGUGGGGCCUGGUAGGAGGUGAUUAAAUCAUGGGGUGGAUUUCUCAUGAAUGGGCUGGCACCAUCCCCUCCAUGCUGUUUUCAUGGUAGGUUAUCAUGAGCUCUGCUUGUUUAAAAGUGAGUAGCACCUCCCCACCUCUCUCUCAUCCUCUUGCUCUGACCAUGUGAGAUGUGCAUGCUUCCCCUUUACCUUCCACCAUGAUUGUAAGUUUCCUGAGACCUCCCCAGAAGCUAAGCAGAUGUCAGAAUCAUGAGUCCUGUACAGCCUGUGGAACGUGAGCCAAUUAAAACUCUUUUCUUGGCUGGGUGUGGUGGCUCACACCUGUAAUCCCAGCAUUUUGGGAGGCCAAGGUGGGUGGAUCACCUGAGGUCAUGAGUUCGAGACCAGCCUGGGCAACAUGGUGAAACCCCCGUCUCUACUAAAAAUACAAAAAUUUGCUGGACGUGGUGGCAGAUGCCUGUAAUCCAGCUACUCAGGAGGCUGAGGCAGGAGAAUGGCUUGAACCCAGGAGGUGGAGGUGGCAGUGAGCCAAGAUCGUGCCAUUGCACUCUUGCCUGGGUGACGACAGUGAAACUCCAUCUCCAAGAACAAAACAAAACACCCCUCUUUUCUUUAUAAAUUACCCAGUCUCAGGUUUUUCUUUAUAGCAGUGCCAGAAUGGACCAAGACAGGGAGAGAGGAAGCAAGCUCUGUGAUGACUCUUCUCGAAAGGCUGCUAAUCCCAUCAAGUGAAUUCCACCCUUAUAACCUCAUCUCAACGUGAUCACCUCCCAAACUUCUUGCCUCCAAAUACCAUCACAUUGGGAGUUAGGAGUUUGACAUAUGAAUUUUGGAGAGUCCACAAACAUUCUGCCUGUAACACUAGAAAUGAAAUUUUGAUUUCAUUUUAUCUAUUUGUUUGAGACAGAGUCUUGCUGUUGCCCAGGCUGCCAGUGCAGUGGCGUGAUCUCGGCUCACUGCAACCUCCACCUCCCAGGUUCAAAUGAUUCUCCUGACUCAGCCUCCUGAAUAGUUGGGACUAUAGGCACCCACCACCAUGCCUGGCUAAUGUUUUUUGUAUUUUUAGUAGAGACAAGGUUUCACCAUGUUGGCCAGCCUGGUCUUGAACUCCUGACCUCAAGUGAUCCUCCCACCUCGGCCUCCCAAAGUGCUGGGAUUACAGGGUGAGCCAGCGAACUUGGCCUUCCUUUAAUUUUAAUCAAUUUAAAUGUAAAGAGCUGCAUGUAGCUAGGAGCUACUGAAUUGGACAGCACAGCCUUAAGGAGAGUGGAAAUCAGCUGAAUCCAGUUGAAACAGGAGUUAAAUCAGUUGGAGCCAGCCAACAUUGGAUGACCUUGGCUGAAACCACCUGAAACUGGUUGAAAGGAGCCACAAACUGUUCACAACCAGCUGAAGCUGAAUUAACCUGGCUGAAACUGGAUGAAGUCAUUUGAAACCAGCUGAAACUGGAUCAAACCAGCUGGCAGUGGUUGAAACCAGAUGAAAUCAUUUAAGUAGGGUUUGUCAUAUUAUUUUGCUUCUUGAUGAACUAGUCCUGGGUUUUUUUUGUUUGUUUGUUUUUUGUUUUUUUUUUGAGAGAGAGUCUUGCUGUGUCGCUCAGGCUGGAGUGCAGUGGUGAGAUUUCAGCUCACUGCAACCUUCUCCUCCAGGAUUAAAGUGAUCUUCCUGCCUCAGCCUCCUGAGUAGCUGGGAUUACAGGAGUGCACCACCACUCCCGACUAAUUUUUUUAUUUUUAGUAGAGACAGGGUUUCAUCAUGCUGGCCAGGUUGGUCUCAAGCUCCUGACCUCAGGUGAUCCACCAUCUUGGCCUCCCAAAGUUCUGGUAUUACAGGCAUGAGCCCUGGUGCCCAGCAGCAUAAACAUUUAGUUUUAUUCUAACAAGGUAGCUUGUACAUUUUAAGAUAUAAAACUGAACAUCUUUUUUCCUCUCCAGAGAAACAUAAGGAAAACCAAGGAACUUUUUACAACAAACAUUUUUAAACAUUUACAAAAGUAGACAGAAGAGUACAGUGAACCCCUGUGGACCCACUGCCCAGCUUAAAUAGCAAUCAGGAUUUUGCCAAUGUGCUCCAAACUAUCCUCCCCUUCCCCUCUUUUUCUUGGCUGGGAUGUUUUAAAGCAAAUCCUAGAUAUGUAGUAAAAAGAAAAUGUAAAAGUAAAACAGAACAAAAAUUACAAUGCAGAAUACCAUUUCCAAAUAAGAUCUGGCCAGGCGCGGUGGCUCACGCCUGUAAUCCCAGCACUUUGGGAGGCUGAGGCGGGCAGAUCACAUGAGGUCAGGAGUUCAAGACCAGCCUGGCCAACACGGCGAAAUGCCGUCUCUAUUAAAAAUACAAAAAUUAGGCCAGGCGCGGUGGCUCACACCUGUAAUCCCAGCACUUUGGGAGGCCAAGGCGGGCGGAUCAUGAGGUCAGGAGAUUGAGACCAUCUUGGCUAACAUGGUGAAACCCCAUCUCUACUAAAAAUAC
rnacentral:lncRNA from 1 species